GGUAAGAUGGCCGAGUUUAAGCGGCGGAUUGUAGCUCCGUAAACAGAGGUUAGUACCCUCUUCUUACUA
rnacentral:tRNA from 1 species